AUAUACAUAUAUAUGCAUAUAAACAUUAUUUAUCUAAAUUCUAACUAUUAUUACACAGGUGGUAAGUAGUAGAAUUGGAAUUUGAACUCAGAUCUUUUGAUUUCAGUGAAAUACCCUUAUUAGUCUGACCUGGGUUAGGUACAUUCCCCCUUUAAGAUAUGUGUGUGAGAAAAGGGGCAGGGACAAGACAAUAUGGCCCUAGCAAGAGUAUCUAAUCUUUGAAGAUGAAGGUUCUCAAUGUGGAAUUUUCUUACUUACCUGUCUUCCUGGACGAGGAAGGAAGUUGACUACCAUCUUGACUCUGAUUUUUCCUUCAGUGCCCCAGACCAUGGAACUAAAGAAUGACGUGAUGCAGACCACUCUAAAUCUAAUAAAGGAGGACUCCAAAGUAGUACGGUUGCCUCUACUACAUUUUAUUGAAAAAUUAGGUGUGUGUAACUAUUUCACCCUGCAACAAGGCGAUAUAAUUAUCAACCAUCUCAUCAAUCUCAGUCAGAUUGGAUCCACCACAGUGAGUAGGAAAAGGGAUGAGACCUGGGAUCUAAGGGGGCUACACAGACGAGAAAUGGUAAGAUAGGGCUUGCAAAAAGGCAAUGAGGGUGGUGUUACAGUAUAAUUUUAACUGAGGUAGAUCUCUGAGCAGUUAUUAGCAUACUACCUGUCACUAUAUGGGUCAAUGGCUUGCCUUCAUUUUUGUCAGAGACCCUGAGCAGACAGACAGUCCCUUUUUUAUAGGUUUUAGAGAGAAUAGAACAAAGUAGAGCAAUUAACAUCAUACAAAAUGAUUGGUUACAGAGUUGAGACACAGAAAACAACAUGACUGGUUAGAGGUUUGGGAACUGGGGCUAGCAACAGCCCUCCUUCCUUUCCCAUGAAACCAAGAAGGUCUUUAUUGUUGGGGUCCAGGUGCAAGGCAACAGUCCAGACUUUUGGACAGUAAACCCCUAAUCCUUAAAGGAUAGCUUGGUAGCUAAGGACACUGGGGCCCAAUUCUUUCUUUCUCCUACCAUUCUUAAGGUUCACAAAAUUUCUUGAGGCUACUUAUUGUGGAUUUCCCAACUUACCCCAUUAUAGACCAGCUGAAUUCUGAGCUAAAUUCAGAGACAAAGAACUAUGACUGAAGCAGUUACAAGCAAAAAUGAGACACGGUCAAUUAUUUGUAAAUAGGGUCAAUUAAGAAAAGGAUAAAGGAUCAAUUUAUUUUUUAUUUUUUAAACCCCUACCUUCUAUCUUAGAAUCAAUCCUGUAAUUAGUCCCAAGGCAGAAGAGCCAAAAGGGCUAGGCAUGACUUGCCCAGCGGUCACACACCUAGGAAAUGUCUCAAUCCAAAUUUGAACCCAGGACAUCCAAGCUUUUGGCCUUACUCUCAAUCCACUGAGCCACCUACCUGCCCCUAUAAAAUCAAUUUGAAUCUCGGUAGGAUUGGAAAUAUAAGGGAGGAGAAAGAGAGGAAGGAAGGCUGGAAUAAGAAUCAGGCUCCGAUUAUGGGGUGCGAGCUAAAAUGUCUUCUAUAGCCCCUGAGCUCAGAAAUAUCAGCGCUUACUCAGACACCAACAGAGCGAGGGAAAUGUGUAGAC
ensembl:lncRNA